UUCUUUUGUUAAUUAACGAAAUCAAUUAAAUCCUUAUGAUUUAUCCUACUCAUUUAAUCUAAUUUUCUUUCUUAACAAUCUACUGGAUCAUUGGAAGUUAAUUUUAAAUAUUGUUCUUGAUUUAAUUUGAUGUAUUUUCCCUUUGCUUUUGGUGUUUUUGUUUCACCGAUUUAAUUGAUUGUGUUUUUGUUUUUUUUCUUUAAUUGAUUAUAUUUGGUAAUUAUGGUUUUACCUGAAGGUGAGAAUCAACCUUCAUCAGGAGAUGAAGAAGAUAUUGUUAAUGAAGAAUACGAGGAACAUGUAAUCAUUGAUGAUUAUUUUCUCGACGAUGAUGAACCAGGAUUCAAUGUUGAAGAUGAGAUUCCUGCUCGACGUCAUGACAAAGAACUUGCUAUUCAACGGUACAUUAAACUUAUACGAAUGCCUGAAACCGAUCAAACAAUUAGGGAAAAAUUGGUGGCCAAAGUUUGCGCUCUUAGGAUUCAAUUGAAUGACAUGAAUGAAGAAGCUGAGAAACAAAGUCAUUUGGGUCACACUUUGGUUAAAUUUAUUGAAACAGAUUCUCCGAGAUCUGUUGUUUGUGAUAGUUGUAAAAGAAGAUCUCGAGGGUUACCUUUGACCUCUCUAUUUCGUCCCUUUAAUUCAUCUAAAGAUCUCCUAGUCUGUUACUCUUGUAACCUUCAUAUUCACCAAGAUUGUUUGGAAAAGCCUGGUCUUCGUCCAUGUCCAAGAUUAGAUUUUGAUAAAGAGGAAAGAUUUUCUGGUUGUAAUAAAAGCUAUGAGGCGGUUAUGUUGAAAAUUUGCCCCGAAAUUGGCCUAACCAAGCAACAGUUUAAAUGUAACGAUUGUGAAGGAUCAAUUUACUUAAAUUGCGCUAAUUUAUGUGAUUAUGAUGGUAAAUAUUACUGUCAAAAAUGUCAUUCCGGUGAUACUGCAGUGAUGCCCGCUCGAGUUAUACACAAUUGGGAUUUUCUACCUCGAUCUGUUUCAAAAAAAUCCCUUCUAAUACUCAAUUAUAUUCGUUCAAAGCCAAUCUUAUUUGAUAUAUUGCAACUUAAUUCCAUGUUAUAUGGAUUUGUUGAAGAACUACCAACAAUCAAGAGAAUUCGGAAAGAACUCAUUUCAAUGGCUCAAUAUACUCGAUUAUGUCGACAACCAUUUAAACCAAAAUUAACAAUAAGCCAACAUUUAAUUGAAGAAUCACUGAUCAAUUGUUAUACUCUCGAUGAAUUAUGUAACACAGUUAAACUUCAAAAGGAUCUAAUUGAGGUUCACUCUUUAUUGGUUGAACAUAUCACAAAGGAUUGUGAGAGUUGCAAAGGAAAAGGUUUUUACUGUGAACUUUGUCGUGAUAAAGAUGAUCUUUUAUUCCCAUUUGCUUCUAACAUUGCCUCAUGUCCACAAUGUAGUGCAGUUUAUCACAAAAAUUGUUUCUAUCGGAAGAAUCGACGAUGCACUCGAUGUAAACGAUUGGAAGAAAAAAACUCUAAACUUGUUCAAGAUUCUUUGUGAUUAAUAAUCUUUUAAAAGUCUUUGGAUAACAAUGGUUACUUCCGUGUAAGUAAAUUCUUUCCUUUUCCGUCGGAAAUGGUCAAAACAACUUGACCAAUCGCUGAUGAUAUGAGGAUGGGCCAAAAAAACUUUUCCUUAUUUAAAGAGGUUUUUAACCACAUUUCAUGUCACGAGAUUAUUCAGCAAGUCCAUGAGGAACCCAUUCCCGUUUCACCUCAACAAUUGGCCGCUGAUUCAGUAGAUUUUGAUUGUACUGGUCGAAGUGCAGGUUAUUAUGCCGAUGUUAGCCAAGAGUGUAA